AACGAACGCUGGCGGCAUGCCUAACACAUGCAAGUCGAACGGCAGCACGGGAGCAAUCCUGGUGGCGAGUGGCGAACGGGUGAGUAAUAUAUCGGAACGUGCCCAGUCGUGGGGAUAACGUAGCGAAAGCUACGCUAAUACCGCAUACGAUCUAUGGAUGAAAGCGGGGGAUCGCAAGACCUCGCGCGAUUGGAGCGGCCGAUAUCAGAUUAGGUAGUUGAUGAGGUAAAGGCUCACCAAGCCGACGAUCUGUAGCUGGUCUGAGAGGACGACCAGCCACACUGGGACUGAGACACGGCCCAGACUCCUACGGGAGGCAGCAGUGGGGAAUUUUGGACAAUGGGCGCAAGCCUGAUCCAGCCAUGCCGCGUGUGUGAAGAAGGUCUUCGGAUUGUAAAGCACUUUAAGUUGGGAGGAAGGGCAGUAAGUUAAUACCUUGCUGUUUGACGUUACAACAGAAUAAGCACCGGCUAACUUCGUAG
rnacentral:rRNA from 1 species